GUGAUGCCCUGUGUUACGGGUGACCAACUCCUCACCUGACCCUACACGUCUUUUUGUAACACCUGUCAUAUCACAGGCUCCCAGCUUCGUGUAACUGUUGAAAUUCAGAAAGGGACCUAUUUUGGGAUGAGAAGUGAUCUAACUUCAACACGUCUGGCUCGCCGACACUUGGGAACUUUUUCUUCCACUCGCCAGCAAAAAAUGCCACCACAUCCAUGUCUAUUUCGUGUGCUAACUUCCCACUCAUACUGUACAGUACUUGACACACAACCUAAGUUUUUGUCUCCAUACUGCAGACUUCCAUUUCUUGUAAUUCACAACUGCUCCACUUCGCUUCCGGGGUUGGUGUGUAUAUGUUAUAUACCGCCAUGAUUGUUGACAAAACUGACUGGCCUGACAUGUGCCCGAUGACGUCACACAUUUCACGGGACAGCCCAUCACGAAUUUAUCUGAAAGCAAGUCGCACCCACAUUAUCAUUUUAAUAAGACCUAAAAGCUUACUGUCAUUUAAUGUAUUGCAGACAUUUUAACAUCAAAUACGUUUUGGUAUAAGUCAUAUUUCCCAUUACUGAUAAAACGUGUUUUUGCGUUGGAGUACAAAUUAAAAUACAACGACUGUUAACUCUAUAUGUACCUGUAAUAAUUUAGUUCCCCAAAGUCGAAAGUGAAAAUAAAUGUACCUCUUAU